UCAGAGUCGCAGCCGGGCUUGGUGGUGAUCUAGUGAGAUUUCUAGCUGCUCCAAGCUCACUUUGUUUCCACCGUGAACGAGGACAGUGACGCGCAACCUUCCCCGGGGUUGUCGCGUGGGGUUUUCGGGGAGGUGUCCCAGCACAGUGCACGAGGAAGGAUAGCUCUGGCUCAGUUUGCCAUCCUGAUGAUGUUGCCUCCAUGGAGUAGCGCCUCUGGAGGGACCUGUGUUGAUUCCGCCAUGGGGCCCCUUUUUGGGCUGGGCACCUCACCAAGGCUGACCCAUGGGAGAACGGAUGGAGAGAGGCCUGUGCCUCCCGUGCCAGGAGCAAAGGAUCGGCUGGACUGAGACCUCCUUUAAGAUCGUAAGGGUUUGUCUGUACAUUACACUCUGGAUUUACGCAUACAGAUGAGCAGGGAGAAGUAGAGGGAAGGUGGAAAUGAUGGUUUACAUAGAGGGAGUAAAUCAAGGAAGUUUCUGGGGCUUGGCCUGAAUUUUAGUUAUCUGCAGCUUCCGCUUGUGGGAGCUUACCUGUGCUGAGCCCUCUGCGGUCCCUUGUCUGGUUGAUUCCAGAGGCUCCCUUGCUCCUAACCACUCCACAGGCUUCCCCCGCUAUCCAAAAGUAGAAUCUUCCUAUGAAACCUUUCACAGGCGGAAGUGGUGUAAAGCGGAGAAGCAGUUACCAUUGAUUUAUAUGGAAAUAAUUCCUGAGCAUUCCCAGAUGCAAAAAAUAGCCUCUUAGGCUUUUCUGAUACCUUAGGACACAUUUUGCCAACGGAUGCACAGAAUAAAUGGAGAUAAAGCACAGAUGUUCACAGAUAGAGUUCAAAGCCCUGGCAGCUUGAUGCCAAGAUGCUGAGUAUAGUCCUGGGGAUGGACUCGGUGGGGCCCCUCUCGCGGCUCCGGGUGUGCUCUGCCUCUGGGAUGGCUGGCUGCAAGACGAACCCUGAAUGCUAUGUUCACUUCUUCUUCUUUUUUGUAAAAGCAAAAAAUCCUCUUUGGAUUUCUUUUAGUUGGCGAAAAUAGGUUCUGAUGUAGGUCUUGCGUAAAAGCUAAGUGGCACACUGCGAACUUUCAAAAAAUGGGAUAUGAAAAUUGCCCUUUUUCUGUUCUAGGCUGGUCAUAGACCAAGGAUUGUGACUUCGGGUAAAGCUGUCAGGGUUGGCAAGGUCCUGGAUGUCAUUGCAGUUGUCCUCUAGUGGCAGUGGGGUGGCUGGGUGGCACCUCACUGGGAGGCUGCAGGUCUCACGGGUGGGAACCCACGUGGCAGGUGCGCCUUCCCCAGGAGCCAAGCCUCACUUUGCCCAUCCCUCCAGCAGAGGGACGCACCAGACACACCCAGAGCUGUGCCACAAAGCAGCUCAGCAGGUGUCAGCUGGGUGCCUCUUUGGAGUAGGCAGAGGUGACACUUUUGGUAAACCUGGGCUGUUUCCUGGGAAGUGGGAAGCUUCAUGGCCAUCUGCAGAAUAAUCUGGUAUGGAGGUGUUUUCCUGGGACUGGCAGGAGGGCCAAGCACCUUAGCCCUGCUGUCCUGGCCUGUGGGAGCCGUUCCUGGUCUGCCUAGUGGGGCUGUCUCUGUGAGGCCAGGGUGGCCACACCAAGCCACCAGCAGAGGGGCCUCAGGUGGGAAGGGUGGGCCACUGCCGGGGUCUGCCCUUCAAAGGCCAGGGCCCUGCUGGUCAUAGAUCAUAGAGGAGGGACGCGCUGGCCUUUUCCCGGGAGAUCGUUUCUGACUCCAGAGCCAUCCUUCACCCAGUGCUCUUUUCCGAAGAUUCAAAGAGAUAUUUCAAAUCCCCUUUCAUGGCUCUGGGACAGGAGAGCCCUGGAGACUUGGCAUCAGGUUGACCUUUUGCAAGCGGAGCCGCUCUUGGUGGGUGGGGCGGGGGGAAGCCCUGGGGACAUGGGGACCUGUAUAUCACCCUGAAUGCACAGUUGGGGCUUUCUAGGGCUCCCUUGCCUGCUGGCAGUUGGAAGGAUGCUCUCUUGUUAGGACUACUUCCUAGAAUUUUCACUCUGUCCUUAACAGCUCUUUUCCCUUGUUUGUCAGUUCCUUUAUUCAUUUGUCCAAGUACCUCCUGUGCUGGGAAAGACAAAAACAGGCUGGAAUACAGUCCCUGCCGUGUCAUAGUAGACUGCCUUGACAUAUCGAGACAUUAUUUUUUAUUAAAGGGAAAUAUUAGAGAUAUCUGAGCACCUAAUUGAAGCCUGUCUUUUGACGUGGAAAAAUGUGUUGUUUAAAGACCCCUGAAUGAGAGCGUAUUGGAAAGAGAGUGAGCAGCUGUCUUAGGUGCUCUGUUAGGAAGACAUUUCCUUAGAGCCGUGCGGGGUUCUCCACUGUAUUUUCCUGACAGUUCUUCCAAUAACGUUACUGAACUUCUCCUGUGCCCAAGGCACACCCUGGGCUUGGCUCUGCUGGGGUGUGGAGGGGAGGGCCAUGGCCGUGAUUGCCCUGGGAAGAGGGGGAUGUGUGCAUGGGGAUCCCCACUGCCUGCCUUUAGGGCCCUGGCGCCAUCCCGGCUGAGGCCCAUUUGGCUUUGGUAUAACUUGCCCUUCCAGAGUCAGUAGCACCAGCGGCUGGUGGGCUCCAGAGCCCUGCCUGGGCUGGACUAUGACGGUGGCAAAGGGGUGGGUGGCAAGUUCUUCCUGGGCAUUUACCAGCACAAGUCUCCAAGCCUAAGGCUUUCUCCUUGCCAGGCUAACAGUAUCCUCCCACCCCACCCCCAGCACCCCACGGAUCUGUAUCUGGGAAGAGUCACAGGGGUCUUAGCUCUUGGCACAUCUCUUGAGCCUGAUGCCACCAAAGUGACCCCGAUGGGAUCACGUGUGGGGUCCUGUGCGGUGGAUGGCUCAUUUUGUAUCUUGGCGCCGGAGGCCCACAUUCCUGCCAAGAGCAUGCCGGAUCCAAGGACCCUUUCUCUAGUGGGUCCUCAAGAAAUAUUAAUUGAGAGUGAGGACCAGAGAGUCAAGUUCACCAGAGCUGGUCUCUGGGUCCUUGUUCUCCCACAAUUUAUAGUUCUCUCCUUAAAUCAUCCUCAGGCAUCGUGCUGGGAUGCAGGACCAACCGACUUCUCUGCACUGUGGGUUUUGUCUUACAGCCGAGAGCAGAGGGGGUGUCCUUAAUCACAGCUUUGGCUCUUCGGACCUGGGGGGCUGCUGCUGGAGAGGCAUGUAGAGGCCAAGACUGACAGAUGGGUGGGGUCUGGACAGGGGAGCAUGGGUCCACCUGGCAGAGAUGGACCCACAGGGGCCCAGUGCCCAAGCCGCCCUCCCCCUGUCUAUUAACUCCCCAUUAGCAUGCGGCACUGGCGUUGCCUCGAACCGUUUGAUUUAUGCCACUGAGGUUUUGCUUACAAAUUAGAAGCCGCUAUUGUGCUAAGUCGGCUUUAAAAUCGAUGCAGAGUAAUUGCAGUACACGGGUAGUUGGAUGACAUUAACAUGAGAAAUGUGCUGUCGUCGUCAUCCUCGGGACAAACAUGACCAAUUACGGUCAAAUCCCGCGCCCUUUCCCCGGCUAAUUUGAACAUAGCUCAGUGCCAAGUCCUCCCCCGGUAUGGCCAGCCCUCAGUGGAGACGUGUCCUGAGUGGAUUUGUUGGGAGUGGGGCGGGGAGUGAUCGUGUUGACGUCCCGUGGAGGCGUGCGGUGGGGACCCCGUCUGCUUCAUUGACUGUUCUGAACUGGCUUUUGUGGCGUGUUUUCUCUGUGGUUUGCUGCCAUGAUGCUUUCAGCCUGGAGCCAUGGCACUAAGAAGCUUCAUGGAUGUGGUGUGUGUGUGUGUGUGUGUGUGUGUGUGUGUGUGAGUCCUGCCUUAGAGUAAAACAAAGUGCUCGUGAGGCUUGCUGGACACUUUGCACCCCACCUCCCUACUGGUUCUUAUCGUCACUCCUGUGUCCUCACCCGUAAACUGGGGAGAUGGCACUGCUUUCACACUGGGAUCCAGUGUUGGGAGGGAGAGUGGGAGUCCGAGUGUGGGAAUGCCGGAGUGUGGCUCUGCCGGUGGCAGCAGCCGUGGCUUGUUAGAAUGAUUUCCCGGUGGCUGAUGGGGCAGCCAGACCUCAGGAGGGUUCUCUGUCUUCUCUGCACAGCGGAGUUGCCCAGUGGAUUUCAGGCAAAAUACUGAUGCUGACUUCCGUCUUCAGAAACUUUGGUUUAAUUGGGCUGAGGCAUGCCCUGGACAUCUGGAUAUUGGAAGACCCCCCCCCCAAAAAAAAGGAUUUGCAGGUGUAACCGAGGCUGAAAAAUGCUGCUUGUCCACUUCUCUAUCUUCAGACGGGUGUUUGCUACUGUAGGGAGGACCUGUACUGAUCAUCGUUAAAGGUCUCUGGAAGAAAGAGAGAAAGGUUUUCUAACUGACAGGUAGCAAGUUCUUCCAUCUAACCUGAAGCCCCAGUGCUUCGCAUUCCACUGCCCCUCCUCCCUUAGCUGAGUGUGCGUACCUGACCCCUCCAGCUGGCAGACCUCCGUCUGGCAGGUGUCAGGCAGCACUGUCCAUGGUGGGAGCAUCUUCUUUUUCCUGGGACUCUUGCUGACUCAUAAAUGGGACGGUGAGGCUUUCCACGGGGAGCAUGUCACUGAGGGUUGUCUUGCUCUCCUGGGCCGUUGUGCUUGGCACCUUCACAAACCAGUGAGGUGGCAUUCGGAGUUCUCAGGGUCCAUAGGGUGUGGGAGGGAAAGAGCCCAGUGAGUCCAACCCUCUCUUUUUAUACAAAAGGAAGCGAGGACCCAGAGAACAAAAGGCACUUGGCCUGUGGUUCAGGGCAAGUUGGGGGCAAAGGCAGGACUAGAACCCCAGGCCCAGGCUCCUACUCACAGCUGUUUUCCUGCACCAUCCCAGCCCCGGCUGGGAGGAGGUGGCCCCUGGCCCCUAUGUCUGGGGAAGCUGUGCCCAGGGAGGCAGGAUCCUUCCGCAUGGAUGGCUCCGAGUAGCCAUGCGUCUGAGACAAGGCUGAGUGCUCGCUCCCUCCCAGACACACGCAUUGCGCCAGGAUGGCCGCGUGAUGGGUUGGGGGAAUGACAGCUGUCGGGUCUGGUUUGACGUCAGUGUAGGCCCCCUGACAGAUUCCCCAGUUCUGUCGGCUUUGCUGUUAGCAGCAUGCUUCCUGUUUGGAGAAAGCAGGUCUGUCUGAGAUCAGCCCACUGGGCGGGUGGGAGUGGCGGCUAGGGAGCAGAGUGAUGGUCAAGUUUACAAGGUGGCCUUGGUGGGGCGGGUACAGUGGUGAUGCUCAUCCCCGUGUGGGAGUCAGGACCUCAGAAAUCAUUUGCCAUGGCUCAGUCCUAACUGAGUGUGAGUGUCACCUUUUCCUAGUUCUGUGCUGGGCACUCAGGAGAGGCACCCAGCCUAAAGCUGGGGCCUUCGGGAAGAAUGCAUUCAUCUGCACCCAGAGUGAAGGGAGAUGAGUGACUCUGGGCCAGACAGGGCUUUGUCAGCCCUCCCCACUGGGAGGCCCCCCCACAGCAGGGUGGGGGUCUGCAGGCGCUGGUCAGCAGCUCUUUGCGUCCCUGCCCUUGAGGUGAGGACAUGGCGGUGGGCAGGACGUCACACCCGAGAUGGGCCUGCCAGCUCCAGGCCGACCAGCAGUCACGUGUGUGCCACGCUGGUCUGGGGGCAGUUUGCUGGCAGCUGCAAGCAAGGCAGGGCCCUGUGGGAUGUUGGCCGUUGUUGCCUCCUCAUGAGAAGAUGAGCAAUGUCUCCCUGCGCACUGCCUGACUCAUGCUUGGUUCCGGAGCUUUAGAAAGGUGGGAAAACAGCCCCCUCCCCUCCACAAUAACAGGAAGACCGGGGCAGAGGGAUUGCUUUAAGUCUGGGCAGGCAGGGCAGAGGGGGGCUUCUUUUCCAAUAGGUUAUAUUCAUCAGAAGGACUGGGACCCGGCCAGUCUGUAGUCCCGGUCACCAGGCAGAAUCCCUGGGAAAGGUAUAGCAGUUCUUUCUCGACUAGGAGAAUAAGCCUGGGUCCCGGGGACCCAGAGAGACUGUUCUUCUGUGCUCCUUCCUGCUGGGCCACGUGAGCAGCCAGCUGGGAGCUGGUUCUCAUUUCUUCUGACCACAGUAAAGCAUGACAGGCCCAUCAGCACGCAUGGGGGGCUGGAGAGGGCUCCGAGUCACCUGUCUGCCGUCUCUCCCGCCACCAUCAGUGCUGGCGCGACUCCAGAAUGAGGUGGAAGUUGGGGUGAAAGAGGGCGCAGGGGGUUGCUCUGGCCAAGGGUUGGGGGAGGAAGUCUGUAUGUGAGGAGGAGAAAGUGGUCGCAGGAGGGUAUGGCAGGAGCAGAAGGGAGGCUACUUCUAAGUCCCAGAAUCUCACAUACGGGGAGAAAUUCCUUUAUAGGCCAGAGAAGAUAACCUUCUGUUCUUGGUGUUUGGCCUUUGGAAGGAGAAAUGUGUCCAGUUUGUCCACAAGUUCAAAGAUACUGGCCAGGAUAUUUCUUAGGGAGCAAUGAGCUCUUGAAAGGUCAGAUCCACAUGUCAGCAGCCUUAGGGUGCCCACCUCUGAAUCCUCUGGUCAUGAGGUCCUUGGGGCUCACCUAGUCUCUCCUCCUCUCUGGGUAGAACACUGACCGCCCUUUACCUAGAGGCAGAGAGUCCCACGCCUCCCAGCUGUGUUCAGAUUUUAGGGCUCCCUCCUCGUUCGUGACCUGAAUCUUCUCCAAGGAGCUCAGAGGGUUCCCAUAUGGUUGCCCCGACAGGAGAGGGGGCCAGGUCCUCCCCCCAGUGAUGGGCAAGAUCCUGAGGGGGUGGCGGGGGCCACCCAGCACUUCCCCAGCGGGUCCGGGUGGUUGACGGAGGCCAAAACAGAACCCACUUGCGUGGUUCUCUGCCUGUGGACACCGUCUGUACGCCAGCGGAAAACACCACCAUGGGCAUAGCCACAUGAUGGUUUAAUGGUGAAAAAUUAAAUGCGAGAGCUGAGGCCAGCAGUAAUUUUAACCAACACAGGGAGACUAAGAGUCCCAGAGCAGCAUUAGAAGUCGUCUGCCAUGCAUGUGUCCUGGGUUUUUUCUGGGCCCAAAUGUGUCCCCCAAGUAUACACAGUCUGGGCUUCCUUGCACUGCUGGGGGAAGGGCUGACAUGCUCACGGUGCGUGGUUCCCAUGGCCUGUAUGCUCCUGGGUUCCCUGAGAACCCGAGGGGACAGAGCUGAGGGGACAGAGCUGUUUUCAGGGGGCAGGGGGGGAGGAGUGUGGGCGAGUGGGCAUGCAGCACGCUGCCACCUCCUCCCUCGUUCUCCACGUGCCCUUUGCUCCAGCCGGGCCUGUCCUCCCCACACCAGACCCACAUGAGGCAGGUCCUGCUUCCCUUGCAUCUGGGGCCCGGCACCCUGGGGGCUUCAUGAUCGGGAGGGAUGGUGCCCUUUUGUGCGGGCCGUGGUGGCCACGAGCUUGGCUUCUACCAAGUUAGACCUACCCACAGCUGCCCCUUGUAUGGUGUCUCCGUGUGCAGCAGACAUCUCCCGUUGCCCUUUUGCUUCUCAUGCGGCCUUUCAAGGAUAUGACAAUGACCGCUGGGGGUUAGUAAGCAGCUACUAUGUGCCAGGUACUGUGCUAAGUGCUUUAUAAGCAUUAAAAAAAAAUUCUUUCCUUACAGCUGCCUUGGGACACAGUGCCAGUACAAGCCCAUUUUCUCUGUGAGGAAAUGGAUGCCCAGAGAUGUAGGGGAACAGGGCCACAUAGGUUAUACCUGAGCCGUUGGGCUCUGGAGGCCACACCCUGUCCUGUCCCCAUCUCUCUAGCACACCGGCUUGGAAGGGGGUGCGUCUGACGCUAGUGCCUGCCCAGAGCCCUGGCUGCUGGUGGGCUGCAAGCAGCACCUGUUCCCAGGUGGCAGUGCCCAUGUCCAGGUGGCAGUGCCCAUGGCCACGUGGCAGUGCUGUUCCCAGGUGGCAGCUCCUGUCCCAGGUGGCAGCCCCGUGUCCAGGUGGCUGUGCCAUUCCCAGAUGGCAGCACCUAUUCCAGAUAGCAGUGCCCGUGUCCAGGUGGCUGUACCAUUCCCAGGUGGCCAUGCCAUUCCCAGGUGGCAGUGCCCGUGUCCAGGUGGCUGCAUUAUUCCCAGGUGGCCAUGCCGUUCCCAGGUGGCAGCGCCUGUGUUCAGGUGGCUGCAUUAUUCCCAGGUGGCCAUGCCGUUCCCAGGUGGCAGUGCCUGUGUCCAGGUGGCAGCGUCGUUCCCAGGCGGCAGCACCUCUCAGCCUGGGCACAGCUGAUGCCCAAGCAGGUUUCUUGAUGAAAACUUACUCCAGUUCCCUUCUAGGGUUUUCAGUGGCUACUGUAACAAGUUACCACAAAUUUGGUGGUGUAAAACAGCAGAAAUGUCUUCUCACACAGUUCUGGAAGUUAGAAGACUCUUAUCAAGGUGUUGGCAAGGCCACGCUUCUCCGGAGGCUCUGGGCGAGCCCUCCUCCUUGCCUCUUCCAGCUGCCAGCAGCUGCCGGCACACCUUGGCUCAUGGUUGUCUCACUCAGAGCUCUUUCUCUGUAUCAGAGGACUCGGUCUCUGCUUCCACCUCCACAUCACAUUCUCCAUGUGUCCAGUUUCCCUCCUCCUCUCUCUCGUGAGGACACUUGUAAUGCAUUGAAGGGCCCAAGAAUAAUCCGGGAAGAUCUCCCCAAUUCAGGAUCCCUAACAUGACCACAUGUGCAAAGACCUUUUCCUGAUCAGGCCAUGUUCACAGGUUCUGGGGAUUGGGACAUAGACCUGUCUGUCCACUACCGGGGCAUCCUCAGGUGUAGUGGGCGUGGGAGGUAGGGGUUUGUCCUGUUUCAGACCUGGGCAGAGGGGGGCAACUGCAGAUCUGUACCUGCACACCCCCCCACCCCCGCCAAGGGGAAGCCCUAGAACCAGGAAGGUCACUCCUACCGCUCGGUCUCCUCAUGCCAUGGCCUCUUGGCUUGGCCCUUGAGCGUGCCUCAGACUGAUUGUGCCCUGGGCGUGCAGCCUGGCUCUCCCUUUUUCCCUUCCAUCUCUAAACUCUGGAACUUUGGGGCUGGGGGAAGCACCCAUGGGUUGUCUUGCCCUGGCGAUCUCAUUCUCCUUACCUCCGGCCUCAUUGCCCUCUACAGCCUUCCUGUCUGGGGGCUUACUGGCAAGGGGCUUUCACCAGGACCUGUCUAUGCAGGGACAGCAGUGGCCAAACAGAAAACAUUGUGCAGAGGGCUGGAUGUGUGCAGUGCUUUGCCUCAAGGUUGAGCUGUGUGCAAGUUCCCUGCUGCGUUUUGCUGAACUCAGAAAGAGAGGGGGAAGCAGGCUUGUGGUGGCAUCUCUGUCCUGCCGGGCACAGCCCAGGCAGAAUGCAGAUGCGGCCCCUUGCUGGCCUCCCAGACCCAGCCCAGCAGCCUCUGCUCUAGCAGGCAGGCCCUGUGGUAUCCACUUCUAUUGUGGGAACAUUCGGGAGCCCUCUGCUGUGGGAGGUGUUAGAGCCAGUCCUAGGCCCCGUGGGCCAGAUGAGUUUGCCUCCAGAGGUUCUUGAGCAGGAGAUAGGGACCUGACUGUAGGGUGUAGCUCCUUUCCUCUUUCUCAGCUCAUUCUUCUUCCUUCCUGCUGUUGCUGCUUCUCCCAGCAGCUGCCCCCGGGGACCUGCAUUGCCCCCACCCCCACAUAUCUGUGCCCUGCCCAGGAGUGCCCUGAGCCUGCUUGACCUUUGGUUAGAGAUGCUAGGGACCUCAGUAGAGGUGGCAGACAUCACAGGUUGUCUGAGAGGGUGAACAGUUUUGUGGAUUAGGAGGCAGGGUCAAGUCCCAGCUCUUUCUGUGUGUGCCCUGAUGAAUAAUCCUGCAGUCCAGCUUCCCUGUCCCUUGUGAGCCUGACCCUGCUGUCCCUGUCUUACCAUCUCUUCUCUCCCUGGCCUUUUCCUGCUGCCCACCAGGCAGCCCUGUCUGUUGCACUGUUGUGUGCACUGGGGUUUUCCGUUCAGGCCCUGGAACUGAAUGUUUCUAGAGAACAGUAAGGCACUUGCCUUGCGCCUGCCUCUGCAAACAGUAGGUGCCUACUGAAAGCUCUUCAAUGCUUUGGACUAUAGUCUUCUAAAAUGGGGUUGGAACAGUUGUUUCUCAGCCGUUGAGGUUCUUCCCAAGCUGCUCUGGGAACCCAAAGGGGGCAGGGGUCCCACCUUGUCAACUGUUCCCCCAUCUUCUCCUUCCCUCCCCAGCACACCCCUCUUCAUUAUUCAGCCACUGUGAUCUGAAGGGGCACGUGACCCAAAUGUUUAUAGCAGCAAUGUCUACAAUAGCCAAACUAUGG